rnacentral:rRNA from 1 species
CUACGUGCCAGCAGCCGCGGUAAUACGUAGGGUGCGAGCGUUAAUCGGAAUUACUGGGCGUAAAGCGAGCGCAGACGGUUACUUAAGCAGGAUGUGAAAUCCCCGGGCUCAACCUGGGAACUGCGUUCUGAACUGGGUGACUAGAGUGUGUCAGAGGGAGGUAGAAUUCCACGUGUAGCAGUGAAAUGCGUAGAGAUGUGGAGGAAUACCGAUGGCGAAGGCAGCCUCCUGGGAUAACACUGACGUUCAUGCUCGAAAGCGUGGGUAGCAAACAGGAUUAGAUACCCUGGUAGUCCACGCCGUAAACGUUGGGCACUAGGUGUGGGGGGCCUUUUCCGGGUCUUCCGCGCCGUAGCUAACGCAUUAAGUGCCCCGCCUGGGGAGUACGGCCGCAAGGCUAAAACUCAAAGGAAUUGACGGGGGCCCGCACAAGCGGCGGAGCAUGCGGAUUAAUUCGAUGCAACGCGAAGAACCUUACCAAGGCUUGACAU